UACGUAGGGGGCAAGCGUUGUUCGGAAUUACUGGGCGUAAAGGGCGCGUAGGCGGCUUGGUCAGUCCCGUGUGAAAUCCCUCGGCUCAACUGAGGAACUGCACGGGAAACUGCCUGGCUUGAGUUCGGGAGAGGGAAGCGGAAUUCCGGGUGUAGCGGUGAAAUGCGCAGAUAUCAGGAGGAACACCAAUGGCGAAGGCAGCUCGCUGGGACGUGACUGACGCUGAGACGCGAAAGCGUGGGGAGCAAACAGG
rnacentral:rRNA from 1 species